rnacentral:rRNA from 1 species
AUGGGGUUCCCGGCGGCGGUGCACGCGGAGGUGCCCAAGCUGCUGCUCAACCUCCUCUUCCUGCUCGACCACCUCCAACGCCUCUCCACCUGGCUGCUCCGCCUUGUCGGCGUCGGCAUACAACACGACCUGAGCCUCACCUUCGACUACCCCACCGCCUCCGACUUCGCCCACCACCACUUUCAUCAUGGCCUUGAGCUGGAGCUGGAGAAGCAUUCCCCGGCCAUUCGCUUCGACGCGCUCUCCACCACCGGUGACGAAGCUCUGCUGCUGCCGGAGGGGUGCGCGGUGUGCCUCGCCGACUUCCACGGCGCCACGCGCGUGCGUCGGCCGCACGGGUGCGGCCACGUGUUCCACCGCGCCUGCCUCGACCGCUGGGCCGCCUACGGCCACCGCACCUGCCCGCUCUGCCGGGUGCCUCUUCUCCCGCCCUUCCUCCUGCCACUGCCGUCGUGA